AAAGGAAUAGACGGGGGCCCGCACAAGCAGCGGAGCAUGUGGUUUAAUUCGAAGCAACGCGAAGAACCUUACCAGGUCUUGACAUCCAAUUAAAACUGAUGAAAGUCAGUGUGCCCUUAUGGGCGAAUUGAGACAGGUGGUGCAUGGUUGUCGUCAGCUCGUGUCGUGAGAUGUUGGGUUAAGUCCCGCAACGAGCGCAACCCUUGCCGUCAGUUAACAGCGGGUAAAGCCGGUGACUCUGGCGGGACCGCCGGGGACAACUCGGAGGAAGGUGGGGACGACGUCAAAUCAUCAUGCCCCUUAUGAUCUGGGCUACACACGUGCUACAAUGGCCGUAACAGAGGGAAGCGAAGUGGAGACAUGGAGCGAAUCUCAAAAAAACGGUCCCAGUUCGGAUUGUGGGCUGCAACCCGCCCACAUGAAGUUGGAGUUGCUAGUAAUCGCGAAUCAGCACGUCGCGGUGAAUGCGUUCCCGGGCCUUGUACACACCGCCCGU
rnacentral:rRNA from 1 species